rnacentral:rRNA from 1 species
CUGGCGGCGCGCCUACACAUGCAAGUCGAACGAGAAAGGGGAGCAAUCCCUGAGUACAGUGGCGUACGGGUGAGUAACACGUGGGUAAUCUACCCUUUGGUGAGGAAUAACCCUGGGAAACCGGGGCUAAUACCGCAUAAGUCCGAGAGGAGAAAGUCGCAAGACGCCGAAGGAGGAGCCCGCGGCCGAUUAGCUAGUUGGUAGGGUAAAAGCCUACCAAGGCAAAGAUCGGUAGCCGGCCUGAGAGGGCACACGGCCACACUGGCACUGAAACACGGGCCAGACUCCUACGGGAGGCAGCAGUGGGGAAUCUUGCACAAUGGGGGAAACCCUGAUGCAGCGACGCCGCGUGAGCGAUGAAGCCCUUCGGGGUGUAAAGCUCUUUCGGCAGGGAAGAUUAUGACGGUACCUGCAGAAGCAGCUGCGGCUAACUACGUGCCAGCAGCCGCGGUAAUACGUAGGCAGCAAGCGUUGUUCGGAGUUACUGGGCGUAAAGGGUGUGUAGGCGGUUUGGUAAGUCUGGUGUGAAAUCUCCCGGCUCAACUGGGAGGGUGCGCCGGAAACUGCCGGACUCGAGUGCGGGAGAGGAGAGUGGAAUUCCUGGUGUAGCGGUGAAAUGCGUAGAUAUCACGAGGAACACCGGUGGUG